rnacentral:rRNA from 1 species
UACGUAGGUCCCGAGCGUUGUCCGGAUUUAUUGGGCGUAAAGCGAGCGCAGGUGGUUUAUUAAGUCUGGUGUAAAAGGCAGUGGCUCAACCAUUGUAUGCAUUGGAAACUGGUAGACUUGAGUGCAGGAGAGGAGAGCGGAAUUCCAUGUGUAGCGGUGAAAUGCGUAGAUAUAUGGAGGAACACCGGUGGCGAAAGCGGCUCUCUGGCCUGUAACUGACACUGAGGCUCGAAGGCGUGGGGAGCAAACAGG